rnacentral:piRNA from 1 species
UAAGUGGUGAAGAGACUUCAUCUGCCAUGC